ensembl:lncRNA
CUACUAGCCCCCAUGGCAGGAAAAGAAUGCCACACUGUGCUGUAAUUUUCUAGUUCUUGUGUGCUGUGAUACAGGGGAUAUUUGUAUAUAAAAUCACUUGUUAGUGUUUCUUUUUUCCCCCUGUAUAUUCUCAUAAUGUAAACCUUCUGUAAAAUGAGCCUUAAACGCCUAGCCAAGGCAUACCCAAAGUAAAAUUAAAGCCGUUCUUGAACCAUUUCGAGUAGAUGCAUGGUUUUGGUCUCUUAUUGAAAGCUGGAUUAAAUAUUUUUACAUAAUUGGAUUGUUUGGACGUUUGCUAGUGUAACAAGACUGUUUUUGUCAGGAUGUUAUGGAUCAGUGGAUUACUAUGAGGCUUCAUAUGAGGUUGGAAAGAAGCAGGAACGAAAGUGUCGAGUUGAAGGUGGUCAUCAUGGAUUCACUGAGUAUAACCCCUAUCCCCAGCAAACCGAAGUGCUGACUGAUCUCAG